AAAAGUUAGAAAGAGGGGUGCUUUUACACAGUAUCCAAUUUGAGGGCAGAAACUUUAUAAUUGCACAAUUGAAGACUUUAUACAUUCGCUGCGGGAAGGGAAGGCAAAAACGAUGAAGAUCAUUCGUAGAAACCUCGCACCCGAUGGCCCGGGCAGUGUAAAAAUGGUCCCAGAAGAAGCAGAUGAUUUGUGGAUGGCUUAUAAUCUGAUUGCCGAGGGUGAUACCGUCUUAGCUGUCACCGUCAGGAAAGUUUUAAGAGAAGCUGCUUCUGGAGGAAGAGAUGCAGAAAGAGUAAAACUGAAAUUGGAAAUCAAAGUAGAGACUGUAGAGUAUGACAAAGAAGGAUCUGUCUUACGUAUACGUGGGAAGAAUAUUCUGGAAAAUGAAUAUGUGAAGAUAGGGGCAUUCCACACCUUAGAAAUUGAGCUACACCGACCUUUUGUGUUGAGGAAGGAGUUUUGGGACUCACUGGCCUUGGAGGUGCUCCAUCAAGCAUCUGAUCCUACUGCGAGUGCUGAUCUGGCUGUUGUUCUGAUGCAAGAAGGUCUAGCGCAUAUUUUACUUGUUGGCAAAAGUGUGACCACCACUCGUUCUCGCAUAGAGACUUCAAUACCUCGCAAGCACGGACCUGGUAUAGCAGGCUAUGAUAAAGCCUUGAACAAGUUUUUUGAUAAUGUCUUACAGGCAUUCCUUAAACACAUUGAUUUCAAGGUGGUUCGUUGCGCUGUCAUUGCAAGUCCAGGGUUCACUAAGGAUCAAUUUCACCGGCACUUAAUGUUGGAGGCAGAAAGGAAACAAUUAAGAUCUAUCAUUGAGAACAAGUCGCGCAUAAUUCUUGUGCAUACAACCUCUGGAUACAAACAUAGCUUGAGAGAGGUGUUGGACGCUCCAAAUGUUAUGAAUAUGAUAAAAGAUACUAAAGCUGCACAAGAGGUUCGAGCACUUGAGGAUUUCUUUACCAUGCUUUCAAAUGUCAGUUCUACCCUUAAUCUAAUCCUGAUCGUGCAUGCUAUGGACCAAAGCACGUUGAAGUUGCCCAUGAGCGGAUGGCUAUCCAGACACUUCUCAUUACUGAUGAGCUAUUCAGGAGUUCAGAUAUAGCAACAAGGCAAAAGUAUGUCAACUUGGUCGAUUCGGUCAAGAAUUCAGGCGGCACUGCUCACAUCUUCUCAUCCAUGCAUGUUUCAGGAGAACAACUGGCUCAGUUGACUGGUAUUGCUGCAAUUCUUCGUUUUCCUCUUCCUGAUCUGGAAGACAUAGAAAUGUAAAAGAAUUUCAGACUGAAGCUUAUUAAAGUAGGUUUUUCCUCUCGAUGUCGUGUUUCGUUAGUUAAUUUAAUUUAUGAUUAUAAGUGUAAGGCAGUAAGCAAUUGAGUCACCAUGUAUUAUAAAUAGAUAGUAUGGUGUAUUUUAGAGACCACAGGUCAUUGUUCAUCAUCUCCACCGUUGAUAUUAGUGGUAUGCGUUGAAUAAACUGCCAUAGUUUCCAAUUUAUCAUACUUUUGAACUCUGAAGGAAAUAAAAGAUGAAAGGUAGGCGCGUUUAUUCUUUCA